UACGGAGGGUGCGAGCGUUGUUCGGAAUCACUGGGCGUAAAGGGCGUGUAGGCGGUCCGCUAAGUCUGAUGUGAAAGCCCGGGGCUCACCCCCGGAAGUGCAUUGGAAACUGGCGGACUCGAGUCCCGGAGAGGAGAGUGGAAUUCCUGGUGUAGCGGUGAAAUGCGCAGAUAUCAGGAGGAACACCAGCGGCGAAGGCGCCGCUCUGGGCCGUAACUGACGCUGAGGAGCGAAAGCAUGGGUAGCAAACAGG
rnacentral:rRNA from 1 species